UGGUUAAUCGCGGAACUAACAGAGGGGCGAGCAAAUGACACUGAGAUCAAAUGCAGCCGUUGGCCUGAAAGGGCAUUUCUGGAAGAGCUGUUACCGGCAAGUGGGUGUGAAAAUACCUGUCGUAGUCGCGCCUGAACGACAGGUACUCCCCAAGCUCAAAGCAAAAUGAAUCCCAUGUGAAUAAAGAGGAAUUACGUGCAGAGAAAAUUGCGUGCAAAUUGCGGUUGUCCAUGGAGGAGGGCGGAGUGGUGGCCUGAACAGAGCGAUUGCUAAAGAGGCGAUUCUCCUCUGUUAAGAAUCGCACACUGAUUUACACACAAUUUAUCCUUCGUUCUGGGCAGUACAAUGCUCCUGAGGUGUCUUUCUCAACCAGGUAUUUCCACUUACCGCAUCAGAUUUGAAUAACAUGAAGAGGAAGUCGGGCUUCGCACCUCCCUCAUUAAAAGGGAGUAAAUAAUAAGAUAAUACAGGGACCAACAAAUAAAUCUAGCUUUAGAUUCAAAACUUCCAAAUGGGGACAGGCAAUUGGCUAAGCAGGCAGAGGGGCAAAAUUCAGCUGAUUCUUGACAGAUUUGGCAGAGUAAAAAUGAAAGUUCUUCACAUGCUUAACCUUAAUAUUGCAUAAAUACAGGUUAUACCUUAUCUUUGUAAUGUACAUCCAUAAAAAGCAAAAGAAAAUACAGGUGGUGGUACAGAAUGGCAUUCAUUAAGGACUCGGUCUUAAUGUCUUUAGAGUCAUUAACUUCAAGAGGUCAGAGUCCAAGCCAGAUUUUCUUCUGGGGCUCAAAACCUUUGUGGAAUAAGAGGAGGCAAGGAUCCAUUCUUGCAUGCCGUUGCUGAAGGAAUUGCAAGUCGUGUCAGAGGCAGUCACAAGAUUUUUUUUCAUUGUGAGGGAAGAGCCAAAAAAGGAUAGGCUGCAGGAGGAAAACAGUAGGGUUUCUCUCCAGGGGCUGAAUCAGAAAGUGCCUGACUGGUGUCAUACUCGUGAGCGCCUUGCUGGAAAUACUUGAAAUUUGAGGUAAUUGGACACAAAGAUGAUAUGAAGCUUCCUGCAAGAAGCUGAGCACUCUGGAGUCAUAAAAAGAUGUUUGGUCCUGCUCCCAAGGGAUGACUUUAUGCCUACUGCUGUGGUAGCAGACUUGAGGCUGCUGUUUGUGUCUCUGGCAAACAGCAGACAGAUCAGAGUUUCUUUUUGCCUAAUUGAGCAGCAUUUCUUCCUGGGACUGGUUUGCAAUAAUCCUGAGGUCUCAUCUGGGAGAACACUGAAAAAUACAGGAGAAGCAGCCAAGGGAGGCAUCUAUCACCAUGAGUUUCUCUCUUCAUAAAGGCAUCAGGUUUGGCCUCAAGUGCUGAGGGUUAAAAAUAAGCUAAAGAUUCAGUGUGAUGCAGAGCAGUGUGUUGAUCAGAGUGAGUGAUCAGAGGAAGGUGUAUCUCAGAUAUGAGCUAAAAAGACGGGUAAUUAACAGCCAUUCAGAAAACAAGGAACUUGAGGUGGAGCAGGGGGUGAGAAUUCCACCAGAGCUUGCACCAGAAAUGUGUUGAUUCCACUUUCCUUGCCAAAGGCAUUUAUCAAGGGUAAAUCUAAUCAAGAGACAAAAGGUGAACAAGAACAAUAAUAACUGAGGAGGUUUGGUUUUAUUUACCCAGGAGAUAAGGAUUCAACUACAGGAAGAGAAUGAGAAAAAGGCGCCUCUUUUCUGAGUAGACAAUUAUUCCACCCACACUCACUCAUCAUCAAGAUUUUAAUAAUCUGUUACUAAAGCUAUUUAACAGUUUCUCAGCCUCAGGGCUGGCAGUCUUGGUGCAGGUACUCUGCCAGUUGUCACAGGUGUCUUUUUACAAAAGACCUGAAUAAUUAACAUGGGAGAGUGCUGAAGAUGGCUGUAGCCAGGAGCCAUUCUUCAGCAGACUCCCAGCAUUGUUCCUGGUGAUAGAGGAGGGUUAGUGCUAAUACUAGGAAGACACAUUUGAAAACCGUAUUUUCAUAUGCAGACA